rnacentral:lncRNA from 1 species
AUAGUACAGCCUUGGAAAGGUACCGGGCACACUGUGCAAGGAGCUUGGCUUUCAGAGGAUCGUGCAUUCUGCGAAAGCAGGGAUAGGACCCGUUUUGAUCAGUUCAGUAGCAUCUGUGGCGAAAUACAGGAGGUAACAUUCCCCCGACCCCCCCCCCCAAGCCUCUUUAGUUGAAUUCAUUUGUUUCUAGGUGGCUCAGAUGUGUAUAAUUUUUUUAGAAGAUAUAAGUCUUGGGCACAGGGGGGCUUGCAUUGUUCAGCUGCUCAGCGAUAACAGCCUUUUGGCGGGGCCUAGUCUUUAAUUGGCUGGAUGGGGAUUGAACCAGCAGGUCUGGUCUAUUCACAGUGCCAUAGGUGGCUAUAAUCUCUACUUGUUGGAUAAAAUGAAGAAGAUGAAAGCACAUCUAGGAAGUCUGAUGUAUUAAAAAAAAAUCUUUUAGUACCUUCUCUAGAAUCAGCAUGCAUUCAUUGUUCGUUAGGAGAAGAGAAAGAUGUUGAUUUAUAUCUUGGCUCAGGUGAGGCCAAAAAUAAAGAGUUUUCUGGCUUGAAUUGAUUUGACACCUGUUUCUUGAAUUGUGUUCACAGGUUUUUGGAGUUAAUUGUUAUAGGAAAAUAAUAAAGAGAAGAAAUUAUUUGGGGCAUCUUUUUUUGUUCUCGGUGUAAUUGUUUCAAGGUUUAUAUUAGAGAAUGACCCCCAAAUAUGUAGUCUAUAUUAUUUGCAGCAAAUGUAAGCUUUAGUACUUUGUGAUUUGUGCUCAAAAAAGGGUAGUCUUAACCAAUCAUGGGACAGGAAAAGUGUGUCGUUUUUAAAGCUUUCAACUCUAGUUUCAGUUCUUGUUUUAAAGCCAUAGCUGCUGACCUCUUGUUUCCUUUCACAUAAGUGGGAUAUUUGCAUAACUUCUAACAUGACCGCAAUGAUUUUCUCUUGCAUAUAUGCCUCUUGGAUGGAGGUUUAUAAAAUGAUUUAAUUGGAAUUCAAACAAAAUUUAACUGGAGGAUCAGACUGAAAGGGAUGAAUGAAGAUGAGAGGGAAAUUAGGAAUUGAAAUGUGUGUGCGUGUGUGUUUUAUGACCUUACUCUAGGGCCAGAAUAUUGUGGAAAAUGGUUUAUUUAUUUAUUUAUUAUUUUUUUAUUUUUUUGUCUUUUUGCCAUUUCUUGGGCCGCUCCCGCGGCAUAUGGAGGUUCCCAGGCUAGGGGUCAAAUCAGAGCUGUAGCUGCCAGCCUACGCCAGAGCCACAGCAACGCGGGAUCCAAGCCGCGUCUGCGACCUACACCACAUCUCACGGAAACGCCGGAUCGUUAACCCACUGAGCAAGGGCAGGGACCGAACCCGCAACCUCAUGGUUCCUAGUUGGAUUUGUUAACCACUGCGCCAUAACGGGAACUCCUGGAAAAUGGUUUAUUGAGAGAUAUAGAACACUACACUAAAGUGAAAGUAGGGAGGGAAAUGCAGAAAAAUGGGAGCAGGGUUGAAUUGUGUUGCUAAAACUUUUAUAAUAAUAUGACUCAACAGUUCAUUCAUCACUCUUUCUUACAGGUAAUGCAUUUAAAAUGCUAACUAAUACAACUUCGAAGUCACUAUAGUUGACAUAUAACACUGUGGGGUGAAGAAGGUGGAUGAGCUCUCCGUGACUGCAUAUAAGUAGAGAAAGUUUAUUGGGAGUCAUCAUGCUCAUGUUUACCCUCCUUCUCAUCAGCUUCCAUGUGAAACCAAAAGCUUGUCCAGAAUAUAUUUGUCAUGGCAUUGUCUACUCCCAGUAUUUUGUUACCCUGCUGUAAAAUCAAACAUAAUCCUGCUACCAGCAGAGAGACAGAGGGAAAUGAUAAUUCAAUAGCAUAUUUGAAAGAGAAUUGGAAAUAAGGUCAGAGGGGAAAAAAAAAAAAACAACAAAAUUAUUCAUUGAUGUCCUUAAUUUGUGCCAUCUAACUUAGAGAUGGCAGAUGUUGUAUGAUGUCAUCUACAACUAAACAUGGGGAGGGAAAUGUAUGUUUAGUAGGUGUUGGAAGAGGCCAUGGAGAGGACAGGGCCCACAGGGUGACCCAUGAGCUUGAUGCAGGUCAUUGGAGGCUCCUUACCCCUUGGAAUGUACCUUCUUCACACUAUUCCCACAGCCCAAGCCAUUUUCAAGGGCGUAGCCUUGAGAGAGUUAGGUACUGUUGAGGUCAACUGGGUGGUUUGGAAGAGGCUGAACCUAGUUAAAGCCUCUCUGUAAACUUUUAAGAAUCUGGCAGGUGGGUGGGGGAUCUACUCCUCUCGCCCAAGGCCGACCUUGUAUGUAAGAUCCUUUGCUUAUCAUACUGGCACCCAUCAACCUGGAGGGGUUCACCUCUUUCUUUGGUCUCUCAUUGUCCUCCAUGUAUAGGGCCUGGUUUUAAAUUUCUCCUGGGAAGUUCCCAAGUUUGGGAAUUAGCAGUAGUACAGUGAAGAAUACUUUUCACUUUUGUAUUGUUUGUUGGAUGUAUCAGGGCUCCAGUUCAUUUUGUGUUCAUUAAGGAUAAGGCAAACUCCUAUUACUAAAUUCCACAAGGAUAGUAGUGAAAAGUCCAUUUAUUCUAAGCCCAAGAAAAGGUUUUUAUGGCACAAGGCAUUAUUCUAUUUUCUCCAUGUUUUUAUAUGUAAGAAGCUUUUAAGCAAAUGAUAUGGUGAAGUGUUAAAAUUCAACAACCCUCUUCCCAUCCCUGUACUGUUUUUUUCUUCCUGGCCAAUGCUUGUGCAAAGGUUCAUAAAGUGAGGCUACAGAUGGUUUGUAAAUUAAUGAGCCAUGCAAUAUAAAACAUGUAUGCAAGAUUUCCAGGGAAUCAUAGACCAGACAGUGGCUGAAUUUUUUGAAGAUGCAUUUCUGGGCUUAAAGUAUAUGGUCCUUCUUAAUCUUUUUGGUCCUUUUAUUUGUUUUUCUUAUCCUGUUUUUCUGUAACAUGUAGAUAAUGUUUCCUUUCGAUAUUUCAUUUCAGAGUGUGCUUGCUUAAUGGCCUCUUUUCUUAGAGACCUUGAACAGAUGAGAGAGAGACGGGGGAAGAGAGAAAGAGAAGGGGAUUGAUUUAGAGGGAAGGUGAGAAAGUGAGUGUUUAAUUUCUUCAGUUUACCACCCUUAAAAAUAUUUUCAAGUUAUAUAACUACAUCUCUCGCUACAAGUUUAUUUACCCUUGGGCAUUAAAUUACCUACUUUUCGCAAAACUCUUCAUUUGGUAAAAGGUCCUAAGGUCUUUUCUCAAUUUGCAUCAUCCCGAACUCACUGCAAUACCUCAUGCUGUUUCUCAACACUCCUUCUAAGACAAUGAGCCCUGAGAGCAGGGCCUUGUGUGGUGCCCAUCACUGUGUUCCAGCAUCUAGCAUGCAGCCAGUUAUAUAAUGUUUGUUUAGUGACAGAUAUUUCUAGAAUGAAUGAGGUUUCCUCCCAUGCAUUCUGAGACACUGCAUUAUUCUCUUUCCUCCUAGUUCUCUCAGAUCUCAUUUUCUGACCCUUAGUUCUUCCUUUGCCCAUUUGGUGCAACUCUGCACCAAGUUCUGUCUUCAUUCUCUCUUCUCUCUCCCUAACAGUCUGUGGUUUUGUUGCAUCUUACCUGGAUGCAGAGGACUCCUGAGUCUUUAGCUCUGGCCCAGUCCCUUUCUAAGAUGCCAGAUGGGCACUUUCAUGCCCUAUUGUCAGACCCAUCAGUAAGUUUUAUCAGCACCUCAAAGUCAGCAUGUCAGAAAAGACAUAUCCUCUCUUCUAAGAACACUUGAUUGUUGAAAUUUUGACAAUGGUGACAUCUUCUGAGGCGUUUUAAAAAAUAAAGCAAAAGUAUUUCCUCUCUAUGGUACUUCACACCUUGAUUAUUUCCUUGCCUUCCAUGCAAAAUCAAUCACCAAGCCUCAUGAGUCUCUUCUAGCUUUUAUGUCUAACUCCUCCUCCAGUUCCCAUUGUACCAUUCAAAGUUACUUCCUAGGCCAUCAUAGUUGUCUCCUAUUUGCCCUAAGAGCCACUCCCUACCUAACCAAAUAAAUUCACUAAAACCUGAUUUGAGUCAGACCAUUCUCUCGUUCAAAACCUUUUAAUAACUUCCCAUUACUUAUAGAACAAAAAAUACUAUUUUCUUAGUUUGAUGGUCGAGUCUUCCAUGAUAUGGUGGCAAUCCUCUAUCCCAACAUUACCUUCCAGGAUUCUUCUCAAUCUAUACCUUAAACUGCUAAACUGAACUCUCCCCUAGUUCCCACAUAUAGCUCAUGUUGUACCUACAGCUUAGAAUGAACCUCCUGCCCUGACAUAACCCACUGAACAUUGUUGACUGUUCAACACUGAACACAUCCUUCAAGACUCAUCUUAAAUGCAAUGUCUUUCUCAGUGCAGCCUUACUGAUUUUUUUUCUUGCCUUCUCCCCAAAGAAUUAUCCUAUGACUUUUCCUUUUAUUUUGACUCAUAUCUGAAUGACAAGGCAGAAUAAACCUUGUCUGUUUUCUUUGCAGUCUUAAGUUGUAAUUCCUUGAUGGUGGGUACCAAACUUGAAUUACUAAUUUUUGUACCCCUGCUAAUGACUGGCACAAUGCUUCAGAGAACAGUAGGUCCUUAAAACAUAAUUAUGGAAAUGAAACAUCAUUUGCCAGUGGUUGACCUAUCAAAGACCCAUACAGUUCACAUCUGAUGGCUUGUUAAGGCAUCUACUUGAAGUGGUGGUGUUUUGGCUUUCUGUCUUUUGCAUUCAAUGGGCCAAGCCUAUGAGUAGAGUAAUGUGACACCAAGACAGUAUUCCCCAGAACUGUGCAUGCUCCUUCAUCUAUAAUACAUGGCUAGGAGAGUGUCCACCAUUUCUGAAGAAGAGCUUAAUAAGUAACCAGUGUUUGUGUGUUUAGAGCAACAGUCAGUGUCAUCUUUGGAUAUUGUUGCUAUGACUCUCCCUCAUCUUUAAUACCUUCCAGACCCAUCACCUCCUGGGUCAGUUCAGGGGUCCCUCAGUGAGUGAUUUUCACCUCCUGUGGCUCCCUUCCCUAUAAAAUAGUGGAAAUAUGAGUUACAUACUCCCUCUGAAUCAUGAUUAUGAUUGCCAAUAGUAGCCUGAGGUAGUGUCACAGAGAAUAGUCUUCUUAACAUUUGCCAGCCCAGAGCCUAAAUGGCUAUGCCACCAUGUCUAUCAUUAUUAUCGUCAUUAUCUUCAGGAGAGGAUAAAUCUUUUCAGGAUAGCAGUGGCCAUGGGAAGGAGUGGAAAAUUUUUAAAAAUUGAGACAUCAUUCAGUGCGUACAUACCCAUUUCCUUAGGUGCAUUUUCUUUCAUAUCAGACCUCAUGGAAUCAGGCUGUGUUGGGAGGGAAUUAGAAGAACUGUGGAAAUCAUGGUGGGGCUGAGAUGAGGUUCAGCUCUUUUACUCUCACCACUGGGGCUGUCUGCCUUCUUGCCCAGUCACUGCUAUAGGCUGCUCAAUACACAUGUAUUUGUGUAUAAGAUUAGAAACUCUGAAAACAGAGAGACACUCAAGUGUUUAAACAUGUAAGUUCUCCAGACACUCUGACAAUCUAAUGAACACUUUGAACAUGGAUAUAAAGAUAACGUUUGCCAUAUUGAGCACUUGGCCUUCAUGCUCAACAUGUUAAGGGCUGACUUUGCUUCCCCAAUGGACACAGCCCGUGUGGUUGAAUGGCUCUCCCACUGGAGAUAGGUUGUCUCUUUGGAUAUAUCAUUGACCUUUCAGAAACUUCUCUCUGCUACAUAUUCUACAACAGUUAUUUUUUAGGUAAAAACAAGUAGUCGAUCUAUUUUAUAAUAACAGUGCAUGACUUUAUAGUUACCUGGAUUCGGACUGCCUCAGUUAGAGAAAUGUUCUCUCAGGUAUUCAGGCAGCAUCUGCUCUUGAAUAGUGACUAAAAAGUCUUUAGGGAAUUAGAACUGGCAAUUUUUUUAUAGGCCUUUACUUUAAAAGAGGUCUUGGAGAAGAAAUAGACAUCAUCUCCAGAUGUGAAGACUUCUUAAUGUUUGAAAGAUCUUUUGAGUAAAGCAGUUUAUUUAAAAAAUGACAUAAUCUGCAGCCCAAAUAGCAAUUAAAACAAGUUUGACCAAUAUAGUAGUCACUACAGUCUAAUGCCUGUGAGCUUUCUGUUUCUCUGUCUUCAUUGUAAUAGAGCCUUCUCAUGGUGUUACAGAUACUAAAGUGCCCUCAAGAAUAUCCCCAAAUAUCAUUUUUUCCCCCUCAGGGAAGACUUGACUUGCAAAAGUCUUCAUGAACUUCAGACUAAAAUUGGGUAAAAAUAGCACACCUAUUAAACUGAUCUACAUCUCAGUAUGGAUAUCCUGCCAGGGCCUUUAUUUUGCAUUGUGACUUUUUGUACUUUAAAUUUUCAUUAGAUUAGCUUGAGAAACCACUUACAAACAUUUUGGUCUAGCCCAUACUUUUAAUCUAUGUUUUGUAUGUGGUAAGUGCUCCAGAGAUGUGUUGAAUGAGUAAAAGGAUCCUAGGAGAUCCCAUUGUGAUGCAACAGAAACAAAUCCAACUAGUAAUCCAUGAGGAUGCAGGUUUGAUCCCUGACCUCACUCAGUGGGUCGGGGAUCUUGUGUUGCCUUGAGCUGUGGGGUAGGUUGCAAAUGCAGCUCAGAUCCCAUGUGGCUGUGGUGUAGGGUGGCAGCUAAAGCUCAGAUUCAAACCCUAGCCUGGGAACUUCCAUAUGCCACCAGUACAGCCCUAAAAAAAAA